rnacentral:rRNA from 1 species
CACGUAGGGUGCGAGCGUUGUCCGGAAUUAUUGGGCGUAAAGAGCUCGUAGGCGGUGUGUCGCGUCGGCCGUGAAAACCUGCAGCUUAACUGUGGGCUUGCGGUCGAUACGGGCAUCACUGGAGUUCGGCAGGGGAGACUGUAAUUCCUGGUGUAGCGGUGAAAUGCGCAGAUAUCAGGAGGAACACCGGUGGCGAAGGCGGGUCUCUGGGCCGAUACUGACGCUGAGGAGCGAAAGCGUGGGGAGCGAACAGG